rnacentral:rRNA from 1 species
UACGGAGGGUGCGAGCGUUAAUCGGAAUUACUGGGCGUAAAGGGUGCGUAGGUUGUUAUAUAAGUUAGCUGUGAAAUUCCCGGGCUUAACCUGGGGUGGUCAGCUAAGACUGUGUGACUAGAGUAUGGGAGAGGGUAGUGGAAUUUCCGGUGUAGCGGUGAAAUGCGUAGAGAUCGGAAGGAACACCAGUGGCGAAGGCGGCUACCUGGCCUAAUACUGACACUGAGGCACGAAAGCGUGGGGAGCAAACAGG